rnacentral:tRNA from 1 species
GGCUUGUGGCUCAGAGGUAGAGCACUUGCCUAGCAUGUGUGAGGCACUGGGUUCAAUCCUCAGCACCA